CUGGUUGAUCCUGCCAGUAGUCAUAUGCUUGUCUCACAAGAUUAAGCCAUGCAUGUCUAAGCACAAGCCGAUUAAUGGUGAAGCCGCGAAUGGCUCAUUACAACAGCCAUAGUUUCUUAGAUCUUACUUUUCUACUUGGAUAACUGUGGUAAUUCUAGAGCUAAUACACGCAAAAAAGCUCAGACCUUACGGAAUGAGCGCAUUUAUUAGAACAAAAACCAAUCGGGCUUCGGUCCGUCAUUUGGUGAAUCUGAAUAACUUUGCUGAUCGCACGGUCUUCGUACCGGCGACAUAUCUUUCAAAUGUCUGCCUUAUCAACUUUCGAUGGUAGUUUAUGCGCCUACCAUGGUUGUAACGGGUAACGGAGAAUAAGGGUUCGACUCCGGAGAGGGAGCCUGAGAAACGGCUACCACAUCCAAGGAAGGCAGCAGGCACGCAAAUUACCCACUCCCGGCACGGGGAGGUAGUGACGAAAAAUAACGAGACGGCUCGCUAUGCGGUCCGUCAUCGGAAUGGGUACAAUUUAAAUCCUUUAACGAGGAUCUAUUGGAGGACAAGUCUGGUGCCA
rnacentral:rRNA from 1 species